rnacentral:rRNA from 1 species
UUUGAACGCUGGCGGCAUGCCAUACACAUGCAAGUCGAACGGUAACAGGUAAAGCUGACGAGUGGCGAACGGGUGAGUAAUGUAUCGGAACGUGCCCGGUCGUGGGGGAUAACUACUCGAAAGAGUGGCUAAUACCGCAUACGACCUGAGGGUGAAAGCGGGGGACCGUAAGGCCUCGCGCGAUUGGAGCGGCCGAUAUCAGAUUAGCUAGUUGGUGGGGUAAAAGCCCACCAAGGCGACGAUCUGUAGCUGGUCUGAGAGGACGACCAGCCACACUGGGACUGAGACACGGCCCAGACUCCUACGGGAGGCAGCAGUGGGGAAUUUUGGACAAUGGACGCAAGUCUGAUCCAGCCAUGCCGCAUGCGGGAAGAAGGCCUUCGGGUUGUAAACCGCUUUUGUCAGGGAAGAAACGAGUUUCUCUAAUACAGAGACUUAAUGACGGUACCUGAAGAAUAAGCACCGGCUAACUACGUGCCAGCCGCCGCCGUAACAC